rnacentral:lncRNA from 1 species
GGGGAGGAGAGAAAAACUGUGGGACCUAGUGAAGGAUGUAGGAGAAAGUUGUUAUCAUUGUUUUAGCAAUAGGAGAAUUGUGUGCAUGUUUUUGGUGCUAAUGGAAAGGACCCGAGAUAAAAUAAUUGAGGGAAGAGAUGGGAGCCAGGGCACGAUAGAGCCUUCAUUAAGAGGGAUGCCCUUUCUAAGAGGAGGAAAAAUGGAUGCAAGCAUAGUUGUCAUGGUUUUGAUAGAGAACCUCAUGUGGCUGUCCAUCAAACAUCACUUGAGUCAUAGGUGUCUAGAACACUAUUUUGCACCUUAGAAAUAUUUGAAUAGACACCUUAGAAAUCUUUGCUGAGUAAGACAGAUUCCUCGCAUAGCUGCAAGAAGCUUAGCCAAACCCAUUUCUAAAUUAAAACUACCAGCAAAGAGGUACUUGAGUAAUAGGCACAGGGUGCUCAGCUCUGGGCUAAUAGCAUUGAAUGUCCUGAUUUUUAGAAUGUUCUGUGCUUAACUUCUCAGGCAACACAGGCUGAAGUAUAAGAGUUGAAGGGAUUUAGAAUAAGUCAUUGUUUCAUUAAAAAUUAUUUUUGGCUGAAGGAGAAAUAAGAUUUGGAUGGGGACACAGCUAAAUCAUAUCAUAUACCAUCUUAAUUGGGGAUGGUAUUUUUUUUUUUUCUUGAGACAGAGUCUUUCUCAUGCUAUUCUCGUGAUAGUGAAUAAGUCUCAUGAGAUCUGAUGGUUUUAUAAAGGGAUCUUCUCCUGUACAUGCUGUCUUGCCUGCCACCAUGUAAGACAUGCCUUUGCUCUUCCUUCACAUUCUGCCAUGAUUGUGAGGCCUUCCCCAGCCAUAUGGAACUGUGAGUCCAUUAAACCUCUUUCCUUUAUAAAUUACCCAGUCUGUCCAUUAAACCUCUUUCCUUUAUAAAUUAUCCAGUCUCAGGUGUGUUUUUAUUAGCAGCAUGAAAAUGGACUAAUACAGUGUAUAAGCCCCAAAUUCUAACCACCUCCUUGAGUCACAUUUCCUUGUGAAUUUCCAUGCCAACCAACAUAAUUAAAUGUUGCUGUCUCUUGUGAAUCUGUCUUUUAUCAGUUUAAUUUACAGGGCUCCAAGAAAAGAACCAAAGAGGGCAGAGGAACAGUUUUUCCUCUCUGACAGAAUAAAAGGGCAUGAUGUUUGAAGCUUACUUCCAAAUGGUUCUGAGAGAAUGAGCUAAUAGAGCAAAUGUAGCAAAACAUUAACAAUUGUUGAAUCUGGGUGAAGGAUUUGAGGGAGUUUUUGGUACUGUUCUUGAAACUUUUUUUUGAAAUUAUUUCAAAAUAAAAUUAUUUUUAAAAGAAGAAUAAGCUUCUGCAUUUAUUCAUCACCUCUGCUUUUUUUUUUUACUCUAUUUCCACUUUCAACACUUUUUUACUCACAACUUCCUAUGAGUGGAAAGGAUGAGGAAUUUGAAAGACAGGGCUGCCUUUUGGGUUUGUGCAAAAUCUCUGUGUCUUAAUUUGUCUAUCUGUAAAAUGAGGAUAAUAUCUUCAAACGUUUGCUACAUGAACUGAGAUGAGGAUACAGUAGGCCCUCAAUAAAUGUUAUUGCCUACCCUUCUAAGACCAGUUCAAGUCCUAUUUCCUUUAUUAAGUCUUCCCUCAUCACAUCCAUGAUAAAAAUUUAUUUUAUAUCGUACCAUACAUUUAGCUAAAUGGCUUUCUCAUACAUUACCUCAUUGAAUUAUCCCAAUAACCUUACAAGUUAGGUUAUCAUUUUCUCUACAUCAUAGAUAAGGACAUUUAAUGAAGUUAAAAGAUUUGGCUAAAAUCACACAGUCGGUCAAUAGAAAUAACAGAAUGAAAACUCAGGUUCUUUUAGCCCCAAGUUGUAUCCUCUAUGUUAUACCACAAUUUGAUAUUUCUCCUACUCAAGUGUUUUAAGUGUGGUAAGAAUAUACAUAACAUAAAAUUUACUAUGUUAACAAUUUUAAAAUGCACUGUUUAGUGGCAUUAAGUACUUUCACGUUGUUAUGCAACCACUAUCCAUCACUAGAACUUUUUCAUCUUGCAAAAACUGAAAUUCUGUACCAUUUCAACACCAACUCCCCACUCCUCCCUUCCCCCCAGCCCCUGGUAACCACCAUUCUACUUUCUGUCUCUAUGAAUUUGACUGCUGUAGAUAUAAGUGGAAUCAGGCCUGGUGUGGUGGCUCACACCUGUAAUUGCAGCACUCUGGGAGGCCAAGGCGGGAGGGUUGCUUGAGCUCAGGAGUUUGAGACCAGGCUGGGCAACAUAGUGAGACCUGUUGUCUACAAAAAAAUUAAAAAAUUAGCUGGAAGUGGUGGUGCAUACCUGUAGUCCCAGCUACUUGGGAGGCUAAGGCAGGAGCAUCGUUUGAGCCCAGGAGGUCAAGGCUGCAGUGAGCUGUGAUGGCGCCACUGCACUCCAGUCUGGGCAACAGAGCAAGACCCUGCCUCAAAAUAAAAUAAAAUAGGCCAGGCGUGGUGGCUCACACCUGUAAUCCCAGCAUUUUGGGAGGCCGAGGUGGGUGGAUCACCUGAGGUCAGAUGUUUGACCAACAUGCUGAAACCCCAUCUCUAUUAGAAAUACAAAAAAAAAAUUAUCCGGGUGUGGUGGCGGGAGUCUGUAGUCUCAGCUAUUCGGGAGGAUGAGGCAAGAGAAUCGCUUGAACCUAGGAAGUGCAGGUUGAAGUGAGCCAAAAUCAGGCUACAGCACUCCAGCCUGGGCAACAAGAGCAAAACUCCAUCUCAAAAAAUAAAUAAAUAAAAUAAAAUAAAAAUUUAAAACUAAAAAAUAAUUAUACAAAAAGGGAAUCAUACAGUAUUUGUCCUUUUGUGAUUGGCUGAUUCCACUUAGCACGAUGUCCUCAAGGUUCAUUUAUGCUGUAGCAUGUGUCUUAAGUUUUAUAAACACUUGUGCUCAUGGCACUCAUGUACAACUUCGUGUGUCCUUAUUUUCUUUCCUGGUUUAUAAACUCCUUGGGGGCUGAAAUCCCAUGCUUUCUCUUGGUAUUGCCACGCUCAUAGUGCCUCGUUCAUAACAGUGCCCAAUGAACUCUCUUGAAUGGGUAGAUACAGGCCACUCUAAAGUAGAAAACGAUCCCUCUCCUAUACUUGAUGAAACUUGUAUACAGUUUCAUCACUGCUGUCAGCUAUUGGAGACAAGGAGCUGGACAAGCAUAAUUGUUCUCCCUACUAUUGAAACGGGAGCCAGACGAAUUAAGAAGAUUCCCCAGGUUGGAAGUAUGACAGGCAGGUGAACUUUAGUCAAGUAGAAUUAGCUCUCUGCCCAGUGUAAAAACGUAUAUGCAGUAUUCUUCAAAGAGGAAAAAAUCUCAUCUUUUAGUCAUAUGAAGUGAGAGAGAGUUUGGUCGUGGCUUUUUUUUUUUUUUUUUUUUCCCUGAGAAAAAGAAAUGAGAUCUGUCAAGACUGAACUUUGCAGGAGAGAAAUCAUCAAUCUUUGGUGUCAUCUGAGUGCAUUGGAAAUGCAUUUGCCUUGUCUUGCGGUUUGAUUGUUGUCUAAUCCCUGUAAACAUUAAAGGAUAAAAACAGGAGAAAUGGAACAAGAAAUAUGUGGGAUCCAGGUUUUAGCUGUGCUGCCCGCUGGUGACUUUCGAGGUGAAGCUUUCAGGUCCCUUCUCCCUAGCACACCCAUGCCUCCACCUCUAUGAAGCAAUAGAGCUUCAAGGGCAAAUCUGGCCUCAGAGCCCAGAGGGGAAUAUGGCCACAUCAGGGACCACCCCAGGAGACUCAAAGGCCUGCAUCUCUUUGUCUUGCAGGAGUUGCUGCUGGACCACAUGACACCAGUCCCAUUCUUGAAGCAGAAUGUUCAAAGAGUGUGUACAAAAUGCAGAAGCCACCCAUUUCCAAGAAAAACGGCUAUGCUUCAACCAGCCUAAGUCUACUGCAAGCAAGGGCACCCAUAAGAGAUGGACCUUGAGGGAUUCAACCUAACUAACUGUGAGUAAGGACGUCUAGCACAUUUUGGAGAGUACUGGUAUGAGACAGAUUCCAAAUAAAAUAACCGGAGGCAGGCUGGGUGCAGUGGCUCAUGCCUAUAAUCCCAGCUCUUAGGGAGGCAGAGGCAGGAGGAUAGCUUGAGCCCAGGAGUUCGAGACUUGCCUGGGCAAUGUAGCAAGACCCCAUUCUCUACAAAAAGGAAAAAAACAAACAAACAACAACAACAAAAAAAAAAAAACAAGAAAUAACUCUAGGCAGCCUGUAACAUACUAAAUUAUUUCCCAUUAGCACAUUAGCACAUAAACACCAUUAGCACAUCUUUUUGAAUAUGUAAGGUCUGUGGAGAUAAGACUACACACAGGAUCUCAAAGAAUCUCCCUUACUAAGGGGGAAAUCAAGUUGGCUUUUAUCCUAGCAACUUACUUAAGCCUUAACAUACUUACAAUUGUUUUACAUAGUAUAUAAUAUUUCCCAUACUUGAUUGUGUUUCUUAAGUUUCAUUUUUAAUUUUCAAAUCAAAACAGGAAAUAUGGGCUGGGCACAGUGUCCCACACUCUCAGCACUUUGGGAGGAUAGCUUGAGGCCAAGAGAUCAAGACCAGUCUGGGCAACAUAGCAAGACUCUGCCUCUACAAAAUUUUUUUAAUUAGCCAAGCAUGGUGGCAUGCAUCUGUAGUCCCAGCUACUCGGGAGGCUGAGGCAGGAUUGCCUGAGCCCUGGAGUUCGAUACUGCAGUGAGCUAGGAUCAUACCAACAUGCUCCAGCCUGAGUGAGAGAGGAGGACCCCGUCUCAAAAAACUGUCAAAAAAAAAAAAAAAAACAGAAAAUAUAGAGAAGAGGUAGCUAUUUAGAAUGCUUGUAGAACUUUUGUAACAUUACUGUUUUUUAGACUGAGGAACAUUCUCCAAAAAUAUGAUUUUGCACACACUUUUGAUUGCCUAACCAAAAGUCAUUUCUCUCUCUCUUUCCCUUCUGGCAGGGCCUGCUUCCCAUAAGAAGGGCUAAAAAUGCCAGACACUCUCUUUCAGCCUCUUUUGCAGGUAGGGCUGGCCACAUGACCCAUCUGGUCAAAUUAACCUUUCAGCCACACCCUCCCAAAAGGCUUUUAGAAAGAUUUUUCAUGGUAAUGAAAACAACAGAUAUUCAAGGAGAGCUUUUUUUCCCCACCUCUUCCUUCCUGACAUUUCAUAGGCAUUUCAUUUCAUGGGAGCUAUGGAAGCUAUAUUGCAGCCAUUAAGCAGUAGACAAAGCGAACGUGCUGAGGAUGGCAACAAACAGGGAUGGAAAGAACCUGGAUCACUGAUGAUGACACUGUUUAGCUUGGGACCAUCACCUUCUGUAUUAGUCAGGGUUCUCUAGAGGGAGAGAACUAAUAAGAUUUAUAUAUAUAUACAUAAAGGGGAGUUAAUUAAGUAUUAACUCACACAAUCAAGAGGUCCCACAACAGGCGGUCUGCAAUCUGAGGAGAAAGGAGAGCCAGUCCGAGUCCCAAAACUGAAGAACUGGGAGUCCGAUGUUUGAGGGCAGGAAGCAUCCAACACGGGAGAAGGAUGUAGGCUGGGAGGCUAGGCAAGUCUAGUCUUUUCACAUUUUUCUGCCUGCUUUAUAUUCUACCCAUGCUGGCAGCUGAUUAGAUGGUGCCCACCCAGAUUAAGGGUGGGUCUGCCUUUCCCAGUCCACUGACUCAAAUGUUAAUCUCCUUUGGCAACACCCUCACAGACACACUCAGGAUCAAUGCUUUGCAUCCUUCAAUCCAAUCAAGUUGACACUCAGUAUUAACCAUCACACGUUCUAAACACCUUAUUAUGUAAAAUGAUACAAUCCUGUUGGAUAUGCCACCUUUUUUUGAAACAGGGUCUCACCCUGUUGCCCAGGCUACAGUGCAAUGGCAUGAUCACGGCUCACUGCAGCUUCAAACUCCUGGGCUCAAAGUGAUCCUCCCAUGUCAGCCUCCUGAGUAGCUGGAACCACAGGCAUGUGCCACCAUGCCUAGCUAAUUUUUUUUUUAGAGAGAGACAGGCUCUUGCUAUGUUGCCCAGGCUGGUCUCGAACUCCUGGGCUCAAGUGAUCCUCCUGCCUCAGCAUCCCAAACUCCUGGGAUUUUAGGCAUGUGGAGCCAUUGUGCGUGGCUGGAUAUUGUUUUUACCACUUUUAGCUGGAUAUUGUUAUUCACAGCUGAAAGCACCUUAACAUAUUCAAUGCGAUUUUAAAUACAGUCCAAGUGGAACCUAUUUUACACCAAAUAUUGACUAACUUUCUGUCAGACAUUGGAAGGCCAUGUUCCUAAACAUAAGCAUAUGAGAAAAUCCUUGUAAUGAUGAGAUAAAGGGAGUUUGCCAGUUUAAACACCCGCGGGUUGCCCUGGCAAAUGUCAGGUGUCACAGGGUCGGAAAGAUUAGUUCAUAAUGUACUAGGAAAAACAUCCUGCAAUGUAUAUGAAAAUAUAUAUUGUAAAAAAUCUUUUUGGCUAAAUGUAUUGGCACGAUUAUUAGAAUACAAUCUAGAAACAUUUACUUUAAAUUUUAAGAGCAAAGACAAGACUUCUAAUCUUAAUUAGUCAAAGUUUUUCUUAAGGAUUUCAAUUCAAAUGUGUCCUUUAUUCUGAUUGUGAUGGGACUUUUGAUUUCUCCUAUUUGAAAUGCCAUGUGAAUGUCUUAGAAAACCCAGACAUCUGACCUUAUAUUUUACUUGAUAAAUUGAAAAAGCCACUUGCUGAUAAAAUUUUGUUAUUCACAGGUAUUACAUGAGUGAAUUCAUUUUUCUACUUGCUAGUUUUCUAGACAACUAUCUUCAUUAAAAUUUUAGAUUACUGUAAUUUACAUGGAGUUCACACAUUCAAUUUACAGAUUUAGAAUACUUAAUCAAUUGAUGUCCAUUUUAUUUUUUCAUUUAGUUGCUGAGAUAAGACAUCCAUUUUUCUCAAAAUGUAUCAGAUCAAGCUAAAAAAAAAGAAAUGAAAUUAAUAUGAAAAUAUCUAUUAAAGGACAUCAGUGUCCAAGCUCACCAUCCUUUCUAACUAUCUUUCAUCUGAACAUAGUCAGGGCUUAUACAAUAGAAUUAAAUAUACCAUCCCAGAGGACACCUGGCAGUGUCCAGAGACAUUUUUGGUUGUCACAACAUGGAGGCGCAGUGCCACUGGCAUCCUUGGUAGAGGACAAGGAUGCUGCUACACAUCCCACAGUGCACAGGACAACCCCCACAGCAAAGAAUGCUCCAGCCCAAAAUGUCAAUAGUGCCAGGGUUAAGAAACCCUGUUCUACACCAAGCACCUUGAUGUCUAAAAUACAACACAAACUGGUUCUUUGUUCAUUAGAAUUCCUACAGAGGAAAGAAUAGAUUACUAUCAUUUUACAGUCAUCUCAACAAUUGAAGUCAGGAGAAGCCUUGAUUCUUAUAAACUGCAAAACAUUAGUUUGAAGUCUAGUUUGUAGGUAUCAUUUGUUUUCUAUGAGGAAUUCCUUCUUUUGAUGUUAUAUUUUCUUUCAUUCAAAGACAGGACUUACAUGAGCCUUCCUUUCUGCUGUUCCUUUUCUUAAAAAAAAAUGUCUUAUGGCUGGGUGCAGUGGCUCAUGCCCGUAAUCUCAGCACUUUGGGAGGCCAAGGCAGGCGGAUCACCUGAGGUCAGGAGUUUGAGACCAGCCUGCCCAACAUGGUGAAACCCUGUCUCUACGAAAAA